CAGUAGCCACGGUAAUACAGAGGGUGCGAGCGUUAAUCGGAUUUACUGGGCGUAAAGCGUGCGUAGGCGGCUUUUUAAGUCGGAUGUGAAAUCCCUGAGCUUAACUUAGGAAUUGCAUUCGAUACUGGGAAGCUAGAGUAUGGGAGAGGAUGGUAGAAUUCCAGGUGUAGCGGUGAAAUGCGUAGAGAUCUGGAGGAAUACCGAUGGCGAAGGCAGCCAUCUGGCCUAAUACUGACGCUGAGGUACGAAAGCAUGGGUAGCAAACAGGAUUAGAUACCCCCGUAGUCCCUGUCUCUUAUAC
rnacentral:rRNA from 1 species